GCUUUCAAAAGUAGAAUGCCUGUGGU
rnacentral:piRNA from 1 species